GCACGGAUAGCUCAGUGGUAGAGCGGCUCGCUUACACCGAGUUGGUCGGGGGUUCGAAUCCCUCUCCGUGUACCA
rnacentral:tRNA from 1 species